AACGAACGCUGGCGGCAUGCCUAACACAUGCAGGUCGAACGAGACCUUCGGGUCUAGUGGCGCACGGGUGCGUAACACGUGGGAAUCUGCCCUUUGCUUCGGAAUAACAGUUAGAAAUGACUGCUAAUACCGGAUGAUGUCGAAAGACCAAAGAUUUAUCGGCAAAGGAUGAGCCCGCGUAGGAUUAGGUAGUUGGUGGGGUAAAGGCCUACCAAGCCGACGAUCCUUAGCUGGUCUGAGAGGAUGAUCAGCCACACUGGGACUGAGACACGGCCCAGACUCCUACGGGAGGCAGCAGUGGGGAAUAUUGGACAAUGGGCGAAGGCCUGAUCCAGCAAUGCCGCGUGAGUGAUGAAGGCCUUAGGGUUGUAAAGCUCUUUUACCAGGGAUGAUAAUGACAGUACCUGGAGAAUAAGCUCCGGCUAACUCCGUG
rnacentral:rRNA from 1 species